rnacentral:lncRNA from 1 species
AUCCCGUCCAACUUUAGUCAAGGGAAGGAGAACUAGGGCAGGCCCAAGUAAACCGGGAGAAGUUGAAUCGGUCUCAUAUUCCAUACAGGCACCAGUCUCAUAUUCACAACUCUUGAUUGUUCGUCUCUUUCCAUUGAUCCCUGAAUAUGAUUUGCACUUUUCAGUUACAUUAUGAUAUGGUGCAGGGUGUUCGCGAAAUUCAUGCAUUUACACAACAGCGUCUCCUAGUUUCAUCCCAUUGGAUCCGACAAAUGCUAUGUUGUAUGGACCAGCUAAUGAUAUAGUUGAACAUCCGUAAUUUAUUUCAAGUCAUACUUCGUUUGCGUAAUAACUUUGUUUACUUCACAGCUAGAAAUGCAAUGCCUAAUUACUAUCUAAAUGUACCUCACCGACAUGGAUUGAACUUGUGAUGCUAGAUGAAAAGAAAUGAUGGACAAAUAUUCACAAGGCAAUUAGGAGAUGGGGAAGGGUUGCGUUUUUAUUUUCCCCUUCCUCAUUUUGCUCUAUUUUCGUUCUUUUUAAUUUUCCCUUCCUAACUUGAGUUUAAUUUUGGUCUUAGGUCAAUGGUUGCUUGGUGUGAGUUCACAAAGCUCCAAGUUCACUGUACGGCCUGGAAGAAUAGAAGUUUAGAAAGAGCAUGGCAGAUUUAAGUUCAAAGCACAUGGUGCACUUUCAUGAUGGGUCCUUCAAUUGUGUGUUGUUUUAUGAAAAUGUAUUACAUUGAACCAAGUUACAGUAUCCUUAAUUUGGUAGUUUUAUGGUCUGUCAAAUUGUGUAUUGGUCAGUAGUCAGUGAUUGUUACGCCUUUGGACCAUGCCGAUUUCAUUAAAUGGGUUCCAAACAGUAUAGUUGGCUUUGAUGGCAUGCAUACUAGGAUCUUGUAAUUCGAACCCUUCCUGGAAAGGGUCAUAAUGUUGUUCUUCCAUUUCCAUAUAAUUAUAAGUAAUAUUUCUAGGUUGGGGUGAUGAUGAAUCUCUAUUUUGUGAAGGAUCAAAAUAAGAUAAGGCUA